rnacentral:lncRNA from 1 species
AUGUAUGCACAUAUAAAUGACUCUAAUGGGACUGUUUCUACCUUUGUUAUUUCAUUUGUUUUUGUUUUUUUUCAAACAUCCCAAUCUUUGAUCGCUUCAAAGAAAAACUUAGUUUACUUUAUGUACAACCAUAACAAUGUUAGAAAAAAAGAAAAAUAUAUUUGCACAAAACUAAAUUGUAAAUUGGAAGGUAUAGAAUAUAAAGUUAAGGAUUUGAAUAAGUCAAUUGAUUUUUAUAAAAAUGUGUUAGGUUUUAAAGAAUUAGAAAGAAACACGAAUUUUGUCAAAAUGGUACUAGAUGUAAAGGAUGCAUAUAUAAAAUUAAUACAAAAGGGAGAGCAAAAUAUGAUCAUACCAGAACAUGCGUUUUUAGGAUUAGGUAUAAAUUCAAAAAAAUUCGAAAUAAGUAAAACCAAAACAUAUGAAGGAAAGGUAGAAGAAGAAAUUGAAAAAAGACCUAUCACUGCUUGUAUAUUACCAGAUGAAGACGCACAAGAAAGGAAGUACUGGACCAACUGCUUUAUAACAGACCCAGACGGUUAUGGUAUAGAAGUGGUAUUACAGGAGGAAACUGAUGAAAAUAAGCUCGAUAGGAUUAGGCUUUUUACAACAUCAACAAAAGAUGCGCAAAAGUUUUAUUCCGAUAUUUUAGGAUUCGAGCUAAUAAAAAUACAAAGCCAUUUAAACGAAAUUUCUUAUCCAUGGAAUAUUUAUGGAGGAAUGAGUUAUUUUUUUUCUUCUAAAAAAAAUAAAACAAUAUUACAAAUGGCUUAUGCUUAUGAUGAAGAUAAGGUUAGUUAGAGGUUUUUGUUAUUACUGCUAUAGUAAUGUAUUUGUUUAUACAAACCAUUCCAACAUAUAUGCAUAUUAUCACUCUAACAUAUACUGCAUAUAUAUAUAUAUAUAUAUAUAUUUUUUUUUUUUUUUUUUUUUUUUUAAACUAUCCUCUCACUUUCAGCUUCACAUGGGAAAUUCCUUAGGCAAUUUGAUUAUAAGUAUUGAAGAUUUAAAUAUUGUAGAAAAAAAAACUAAAUGAAAAUAAUUUAAAAAUAGUCAAGACCGAUGAUGGCAUUAAUGUUAAAGACUUGGAUGGAUAUAGUGUUCGUUUGGAAGGAAUUACAAAAUAAUCUAAGUAGUAAAAAUUAUUUUUGCCUUUUAUUAAUCAUUAAAAUGUGUAUAUAUGUGUGGGUGUACAUAUAUACGCACUUAUACUGUAAAUAUUUUACAUUGACAAAAUGUCAAUUUUUAGCAAAAGCCAUUUUUUUUUUAAAUUUAUGUCAAUGUUAAUAAAUAAUAAUGAACGUUCA